rnacentral:rRNA from 1 species
AUUGUAGUCUGCAACUCGACUACAUGAAGCUGGAAUCGCUAGUAAUCGCGAAUCAGAAUGUCGCGGUGAAUACGUUCCCGGGUCUUGUACACACCGCCCGUCACACCAUGGGAGUCAGUAACGCCCGAAGUCAGUGACCCAACCGAACAGGAGGGCGCGGCCGAAGGUGGGUCCGGUAAUUGGGGUGAAGUCGUAACAAGGUACC